rnacentral:rRNA from 2 species
CAUUCACGGAGAGUUUGAUCCUGGCUCAGGACGAACGCUGGCGGCGUGCUUAACACAUGCAAGUCGAACGAUGAACCACUUCGGUGGGGAUUAG